AUUGAACGCUGGCGGCAGGCCUAACACAUGCCAGUCGAGCGGAUGAAGGGAGCUUGCUCCUGGAUUCAGCGGCGGACGGGUGAGUAAUGCCUAGGAAUCUGGCUGGUAGUGGGGGAUAACGUCCGGAAACGGGCGCUAAUACCGCAUACGUCCUGAGGGAGAAAGUGGGGGAUCUUCGGACCUCACGCUAUCAGAUGAGCCUAGGUCGGAUUAGCUAGUUGGUGGGGUAAAGGCCUACCAAGGCGACGAUCCGUAACUGGUCUGAGAGGAUGAUCAGUCACACUGGAACUGAGACACGGUCCAGACUCCUACGGGAGGCAGCAGUGGGGAAUAUUGGACAAUGGGCGAAAGCCUGAUCCAGCCAUGCCGCGUGUGUGAAGAAGGUCUUCGGAUUGUAAAGCACUUUAAGUUGGGAGGAAGGGCAGUAAGUUAAUACCUUGCUGUUUUGACGUUACCAACAGAAUAAGCACCGGCUAACUUCGUG
rnacentral:rRNA from 1 species